AUGGGUCUUCUUGAAACACUGAAUGACUGGGACUGGGACUUUGACCAUAGACUACAUGGGGUUGGCUUAAAGAUCUCUGGUAGUAUAACUCUAGUGCAUAUGCUUCCCCAGAUAUCUAGUUCUUGUUCUUCCAAGAUGUAUCGCACAACCAAUCUCUUGUUCACCCUCAUCAUCCUAAGCAUCACUUCAUUUUCACGAGUGGUGCAUGCACUAGCACUACAAACCCAGUAUGCCCAUGGCAGUGGCUGCAUCCCUGCUGAGAGGGCCGCCUUGCUUGCCUUCCAGAAGGGGAUCACAAGUGACGGCGCUGAUAUCCUCGCCUCGUGGGAAGGGUAUGAUUGCUGUCGGUGGAGGGGCAUCAGCUGCAGCAACCGAACAGGCCAUGUCAUCAAGCUUCACCUUCGCAAUACGUUUCCAGGCCCUGACGCCUAUAACUAUAAUGGGUGUGAUGAUGCCAAUUCAUUGUUCGGCAAGAUAAGUCCCUCUCUGCUUUCCUUGAAGAAUCUAGAGCACAUGGAUCUUAGCAUGAACUGUUUGCUAGGGCCCAAUAGCCACAUUCCUCAGUUUUUGGGAUCCAUGGAUAACUUGAGAUACCUUAACCUCUCUGGCAUUCCAUUUACCGGUAGAGUUCCUUCUCAGCUUGGUAACUUGUCUAAGUUGCAACAUCUUGACCUUGGCGAGGGUUAUUCCGGCAUGUACUCAUCGGACAUCACUUGGUUAACAAAGCUACCCUUGCUGCAGUAUCUUAGUAUGAGCACAAUAAAUCUCUCAAGGAUAGCUGACUGGCCUCGUCCCUUGAAUAUGAUUCCAUCACUAAGAGUUAUCAAUCUUGCUGGAUGCUCACUUGAUACUGCAAGUCAAUCGCUUCCCUACUUUAACCUCACAAAACUUGAGAAGCUUGAUUUGUCCUCGAAUAAUCUAGGCCACUCAAUUGCAUCAAGUUGGUUUUGGAAAGUGACGAGCCUCAAAUAUCUCAGCCUUCGUGCGACUCAGUUAUUUGGAAAAUUUCCGGAUGCACUAGGAAACAUGACGUCACUCAAGGUACUUGAUUUGGCAUUCAACAAUCUGAAUAAGACUGAAAACCUUCAAAGUCUUCUUAAAAACCUUUGCUGCUUGGAAAUCCUCGACCUCUCUAAAAAUGUUAUGAAUGCAAAUAUAGUGGCGUUGAUGGAGGGGUUGCCGGAAUGCGCACAGGAAAAGUUGCUAGAGCUGCAUUUCAGUGAAAACAAUUUCAUCGGGACCUUGCCAAAUUUUAUAGGGGAAUUCAGCAGCUUGAGCAUGCUUGACCUGUCCAGAAACAACCUUGUUGGACCUAUACCGCCAGGGCUUUGGAAUUUGACCCGUCUAACCAUCCUUGAUCUCAGCUGGAAUCAACUCAACGGGAACGUACCAACUGAAAUUUGUUCUCUGAAGAAUCUGGUUUCUCUGAGACUAAGCAACAACAGACUUGGUGGUGCGAUCACAGAAGGACACUUUGCAAAUUUAAGAAGUUUAAAGGAAAUAGACUUGUCUUCCAAUAAUUUGAAGAUUGCACUGGAUUCAGAUUGGCUUUCUCCCUUUAGGCUACAGUCUGGAGAUUUUGCAUCUUGCCAAAUAGGGCCUUUAUUUCCAGCUUGGCUUCAGCAGCUGCGGGGGAUCGAUUCACUUAACAUUUCAAACACUGGUUUACUGGACAAAUUUCCUGAUUGGUUUUGGUAUACAUUUUCAAGGGCAACUGAUCUCGACAUCUCUAACAACCAAAUAAGUGGCACCUUGCCAGCACAUCUGGAUGGCAUGGCUUUGGAAAAACUCCACCUAGGUUCAAACCGGCUCACCGGGUCAAUGCCUUCGUUGCCGGCAAAUAUUACUUGGUUAGACAUCUCCAAUAAUAAGUUUUCAGGAGUAAUACCAUCCGAUUUUGAAGCCUCCCGACUUCAAAUCUUGAUUGUCUAUUCAAAUCGAAUUGAACAACACAGCUAUGGUGUUUUUGGACCUUGCAUGGAAUAA
rnacentral:rRNA from 1 species